GCUGGGAUCAGCGGCGGUGGCAGGAUGACUUAGAGCUCAGGGCCUCGCCUCAUUAACUCUCUGUGACCAACGAGCGACACUCGCACGACAAAUUGGAAUUGCCUCAGCACCGCGAUUCUUCUCUCUUCAGGCUGCUCUGCAGCAAGUCCACUGAAGAGGCUUCAAAAUAAAAACCCAAAUAACUCCCCAGAGGCACUACCAAGAUGGCUUCUCAGUGUUGUAGGUAUGCAAGAGAAGAGAGCGACCGCAUCAGAGGACACUAUGGUUUCAUCUGGAUCAAGUGCAGGUUUCUGGACCUUGUUGGUGAAGGCAGUAGAGUUUGUGAUGUGAUGGGUACAUCUAGAAGAUCUGUGCGUACGUAAGAGCUGACCUAAGCCCCAGAGGGGCCCUCCUAUAUAAUUAUUGACUCUCAACAUGUUUCUCCUGAGGCCUCCUGUGCCCUGGACCCACUUCUUUAACCUCACUUGAGGUGGUAAAUAUUUACAAACCCCCUCUUUCUAAGCACCUAACCCCUGAAUAUGUUCACACAAACUAUCUUAUUAAUGAAUAUUAUGAAAAGUUGUCAGGCUUUUCCUCUUGUUGCACAAUAUUUGUACUGCAAGGUAUUUGAACUACUUAAAAAUUGCACCUUUUUUUCAGUCUGCCCCCUUUAUAUAACACAUGCAGUAC